GACGAACGCUGGCGGCGUGCUUAACACAUGCAAGUCGAACGGAAAGGCCCUGCUUUUGUGGGGUGCUCGAGUGGCGAACGGGUGAGUAACACGUGAGUAACCUGCCCUUGACUUUGGGAUAACUUCAGGAAACUGGGGCUAAUACCGGAUAGGAGCUCCUGCUGCAUGGUGGGGGUUGGAAAGUUUCGGCGGUUGGGGAGGGACUCGCGGAUUAUCAGCUUGUUGGUGGGGUAGUGGCUUACCAAGGCUUUGACGGGUAGCCGGCCUGAGAGGGUGAGCGGCCACAGUGGGACUGUGAUACGGCCCAUACUCCUACGGGAGGCAGCAGUGGGUAAUAUUGCACAAUGGGCGGAAGCCUGAUGCAGCAACGCCGCGUGCGGGAUGACGGCCUUCGUGUUGUAAACCGCUUUCGCCUGUGACGAGUCGUGAGUGACGGAAAUGGGUAAAGAAGCACCGGCUAACUACGU
rnacentral:rRNA from 1 species